UGGUUGAGGGGGUGGCGAAGGCAGGCUGGCGGGGAAGGGUGGGAGAGACAUAAUCGUCCCCGGGGGCAACUCCUAAAUUUGGCAAACUCAUAUUGGGAUAGAACUGGAUAGAUAUACUGAAAUUAAAUGGUUACCAAUUUAAAGAUAUAACCAAUUUAUACAAAUUAAGAGCGGUGAUAUAGUCCGAUUUCUUUAGAUCAUAUUUAAUUAAUGCGGGAGUAAAUGUUCUCUAGCUACAAGUCUAUAUAAAGAUAACAUCAUGAUGUAUGCUCGUGGGAAUCCAAGCAGAAAUACAAAGAAGAAAUUUGUGUGUGAUCUUAUGGAGGGUAAACCUAUUCUAGUUUGCCUGAUGGUACUUUUCCUGCUAGUAAAUUCCACCCAUGCUGAGAAUUGUAAAACGCACAUUGCUUAUUCGGGCACAUCAUGCGAUGAAUUAACUUGCCGGCUAGCCUGCCAGCAUGACGGGGGAGGUCGCCUCACAAAUGGUAAUUGUGUGGUUGUCAACGUUUCCGUUCAGGAAUGUAACUGCGCCAUAUGUGACUAGAGGUGCACUAUGCUCUCAUGUCAAACAACAGACAAUGCUGUGAUCCAUAAUAAAAUUUUCAUGUGACAUGCA